UUCACAAAUGUACCAUCAUGAUGUCAAAUCAAAGUGAGGCAACGCAUGAAGGACAUAAAUUCGGCUCCAUUUUUUUCACUCGCUUUGGAUGAGUUACCAGACGUAAGCAAUUUAUCACAGUUCAGCGUGAUCGCAAGGUAUGUUGUUGUUUACACACUAUGUGAGGAAAGUCUGGCAGUUUUGGCUAUGCAUGGGACAACAAGAGGGAAAGAUUUAUUCAAGUCCUUCAAUGAGUUCGCUAAAGAAAUGGACAAACUUGUGCUCCGUGUAUGGUUGGAAAAAACAUAGGAUACGUGUCGUUUCUUUGUGAACAUGAAAAGAGACGUAUCCUAAGUUUCUCAAUGCCUGCAUGACGCUUAACCUCAUCAAGUAUCAACCAGACUACAAAGCCGUCAGCAACACCAUGCAGCACCAGAAGUCGCAUUAAUGCAAAAAAAUGGCAGACAUGGACUUCACUUUGGUUUGUUGAAUGGCUACAACAAGAAAAGGAUGCAUCAAAAUGCUUACGUAUUUCAGGUGGCGCAGUGUGAAAAGCUGGACUUUUUCAACGAGCAACCCAUUCAUGGUGUAUGUGCGAGGGGACUUCACAGCGAAAGUGAGCAGUGGCGGCCGUUUUGGAAGGAUCGGCAAGUCUUGGGGCCCAAAACAGAAACUGCCGCGCUCACGUUCACAACGCAUCCAAUAGCAGAGGUGCAGUCCAGGGCCGGUCCAGCCUAUACGCAGACUAUGCAGCUGCUUAGGGCCCCACUAGGGGGCCCCCAAUCUGCCAAUUGUUUAAUUUAUAUUCAAUUUUUUUUUCUGCAGUUUGCUUUAUUUGACUUUUGUGAGUUUUGAUACUUGAUUACAAACUUUAAAAAAUAAAAGUUCUUCCUUAACUUCUUUCUUUCCUCUUUUAGAAAAAGGUUUGGCGCUAUCUACUGUAAGUACUGACAAUCAUUUGGGGUGAGAAGUUUGAAGUAUGCAGUGCAACAAAAUCUGAUUAAUAUACAAAAUAUGGACGUAUGGGUUGGAUUGCAUGUAUGGGUUUCACAGUACACUGUGAUGAAAUGGUGGGCCAAAAAUAUGGGCCCCUUCGCAUUUUUUUGCUUAGGGCCCCCAAAUGGCCUGGGCCGGCCCUGAGGCAGUCUUACUGAUAUCUGUGCUAUCGGGCUGUUUCGUCAAACAGAUACGCAUUCGCGAGCUCUGGGAUACUAAAGAAAUGGCUCUCACAUCUCUCCUUGCUAAGCUAAAUGAUAUGUCGCUGUGCGUUAGGAAAUAGGGAAAUUCGCUGUUUUCUUGUGCAACAAAUGGAAAAUAAAUGCAUUGAUGCUUGGCUAAGAAAGUAAAUAUGCUUGCUGAAGCUUUACUUUCUGACAGCGCCUCCCUCAGCCUACGUGGCUUCUCCCGUUUUAAGCUUGCUUUUUUCACACGGGGCUGCAGCUAGUGUGAAACAGCCUCAAAUUUAUAUAUCGUAUUUUCUGCACAAUAGGGCGGCCCUAAAGCCUCAGUUUUCUCAAAAGUCGACAGCGCACCUUAUAAAUGGAUCAAUACUGGUUAACCAUGGCAUUCCAUUUAGCGCAGCUCCAUCUAGUGGAUGCUUAACGCAACCCCAACGGCUACUACGGUACUCCUGCACCUAAUAACGUGGUGGCCGAAAAUAUGAAAACAGUUUUAAACUAGGCCAUUCUU